rnacentral:ncRNA from 1 species
AGGUGAGGUAGAGGUUGCGGGAAUGAUAAGUAAUGCGGGCCAGAGCCGGAGAAGCUCGACGAAUCCGCAUGAAAGGCAUUUCCGCCGAAGUUUGCGUUUGUUCUCCGUUUACGCAGGCUGGGGCUGUAUCCGAACAGGUGCAGAACUGUCACGCGAAACGAGCCGUUCGCGUGUUGCGCUAUCUUCACG